UACGGAGGGUGCGAGCGUUGUCCGGAAUCACUGGGCGUAAAGGGCGCGUAGGCGGCUUUUUAAGGGUGCGGUGAAAGCCCGGGGCUUAACCCCGGGUCGGCCGUGCCGACUGAAAAGCUGGAGCACUGUAGAGGCAGGUGGAAUUCCGGGUGUAGCGGUGGAAUGCGUAGAGAUCCGGAAGAACACCAGUGGCGAAGGCGGCCUGCUGGGCCUUACCUGACGCUGAGGAGCGAAAGCGUGGGGAGCGAACAGG
rnacentral:rRNA from 1 species